AACGAACGCUGGCGGCAGGCCUAACACAUGCAAGUCGAGCGAGGACUUCGGUCCUAGCGGCGGACGGGUGAGUAACGCGUGGGAACGUGCCCUUUGCUUCGGAAUAGCCCUGGGAAACUGGGAGUAAUACCGGAUGAGCCCUUUGGGGGAAAGAUUUAUCGGCGAAGGAUCGGCCCGCGUUGGAUUAGGUAGUUGGUGGGGUAAUGGCCUACCAAGCCGACGAUCCAUAGCUGGUUUGAGAGGAUGAUCAGCCACACUGGGACUGAGACACGGCCCAGACUCCUACGGGAGGCAGCAGUGGGGAAUCUUAGACAAUGGGGGAAACCCUGAUCGAGCCAUGCCGCGUGAGCGAUGAAGGCCUUAGGGUUGUAAAGCUCUUUCAGCUUGGAAGAUAAUGACGGUACCAGCAGAAGAAGCCCCGGCUAACUCCGUG
rnacentral:rRNA from 1 species